rnacentral:rRNA from 1 species
UAUGUGAUCGUCUCUCGCAUAUCAAUAAGCGGAGGAAAAGAAACUAACAAGGAUUCCCCUAGUAACGGCGAGUGAAGCGGGAAGAGCUCAAAUUUGAAAUCUUAAAGGGUUUCCCUUUACGAAUUGUAGUUUAAAGAAGUGUUUUCUGUUGAAGGUUUUGGUAAAAGUUCUUUGGAAUAGGACAUCAUAGAGGGUGAGAAUCCCGUAUUUGACCUUUACUUUCAACUUUGUGAUACACUUUCAAAGAGUCGGAUUGUUUGGGAAUGCAGUCCAAAAUGGGUGGUAAAUUUCAUCUAAAGCUAAAUAUUGGCGAGAGACCGAUAGCGAACAAGUACCGUGAGGGAAAGAUGAAAAGAACUUUGAAAAGAGAGUUAAACAGUACGUGAAAUUGUCAAAAGGGAAGCGUUUGACACCAGUGUUGUUUUUCUGAAAAUCAAUUAAAGAACUGUUUAUGCUAAGUUGUUUAGACUUUAUCAGCUAACUGUUUAGUUUUGAGCUUUUCUUUAAUGCACUUUUCAGUUAACAAGUCAACAUCAAUUUCUUUUGCUGUAAAAAAGCUUGAGGAAGGUGGCUUGAGAUUCGUCUUAAGUGUUUAUAGCCUCUUGCCUAUGCAGUCGGAGAGAUUGAGGUCUGCAGCGUAGAUCCUUCGGGGCUAAAUGCAUUUGUGCUAAGUUAUAGCAUUUUAUAGACAACUUGUUGACUAUGAUUUGUCUUGUAGCUUACUCGCUUAUGUUAUUUUACCUACGCUUAGGAUGUUGAUCUACAGAGCGAGAGU